ensembl:lincRNA
AAUACAGGACAUUUGCUACAUCCCAACUCUUCUUAUUAAUUUUUAUUUUGAGACAGGGUCCUGCUGAAUCACUGAGUUGCCCAUUCUAGGCUCAAACUUGUGAUCCUCCUGGCUCAGCCUCAUACAGUACCAGUAUUACAGGCAUGCACCACCACAUCCAGCUAGAAGAGAGUUCUUUAAAUAGAAGAAGCUCCUCUUAUUUCAGUGUCUAUGCAAUGAUUGCGUUUGCCUGCAUGUUCAAGCACAAAGAUUCUCAGGAAUUCUACUUCAGCACAGUAGCACUGUAAGUCAUUGGACAUGCUGGAUUAUGAUGGUUCCAGAAAUUCUUCCUGCGCUGAGAUAAUAUGCAGAUCCUACUUUCAGGACAUGUUUCGGAGGCUGGAGGAUGUGGCAUGAAAAUAAAAAUUACAGGUAAAGAAGCUAUUAGCAGUUUUCUAACUCUUACUAGAAAGUAACUAGAUCUCCUUCAUUUAUAGACAAAAAAUUCAUGAUUUAGUCAUCAGAUCCUUUACUUUGCCAUAAAAACGUGAAAGGUGUGUCUAGAUGUUAUGUUAUUGCUCUAUGUCUAGAUGAGUGUUAUUAACGUGUAAACCCAGUAUCUUAUUGCUCUGUGUCCAGGUGCCAGUGUAUUGUUCUGUAUCUAGAGCCAGUAUUAUUGCUCCAUGUGAAAUAAUGUGUUAUUGUUCUGUGUCUAGAUAGAGUGUUGGUGUUCUAUAUCACAGGCAACAGAGCUCUUGCAGACUUCUGUAAGUGCUGAGGUGGAAAAAGUAGAGCAGAAAGCCCAGGAAGUUCAGGCUUGCCCUAACCCUUUGCCAGAUUUGGGCCAAGCCCUUUAACUGCUGUGCCCCAGGGCCUCAAUUAAGCCCAAUUAAACAAAAUGGGGAGAUUAGGCUCCAGGAAAAAGGUCUCCAUAGUCCCAUCCAACCCUAACCCCCUUUUUCUACCCCAGCUUGUGCUUCUGCCUGUGAGACCUCCAAGUACAAAACAGGAUUAAUCCAUCAGCUCAGCUGCGCUGGGAGAGGGAGGGAGGCUGGGAGGAAGUAUCAAUGAUACCGCACUUCAGUGAGCACUGAAGAGGCUCCAUUCAUGGGCCAACAAAACCUGGGCGAAGCCUCAGACUUAAUCAGCCAAGGAGGCUCUAGCAGCAGGAACAAAGAAAAUCAAAGUCUCACUUGGCAGUGCAGGCACAACUUCUGUGUUCCUCCUUAAACCCAAGCCUACUGGGUCUUCAGCAGACAAGAACUGUGAGGUGGAGUAGAAGGACAUCACGUGUGCACACAUGCACACACAGACACACUCACACACACACUGCGGGGGGGACCAAAAGUUUCUAGAAGGAAAAUGCAAAGACAAAGCACCUACAAAAUUAGGCAUAGCUGAUGAGACUGAACAAGAGCGUAAUUUUAACAUUACCUUUUAGGCUGUUUUUUUCACUUGAGAUAUUUUUUACAUCUAAUCAACAAGGAGUGCUUUGAUGUCAUUCAAAAUGAAACUCUCACAUGAACUUCUGCAUAAAACCUUUUAGAGUUCUGAAAUUACUUUAAUUUCUUAACACAGUGUAUGUUGCAAUACUUAGUGCCAGACAGGGCUACAGUGUGUUUUGCUAGGCAGGUUUACAUUGUAACAUAAUUUUAAUAUUAUGUACAGCUCCACUUUAUGUCAUUUUGUAAGAGGGAAAACUGGCAUUGAAUCUCCAAGGGCUGCUUAUUAAUGUCUACAGCAUGCCACUGUGAUCACUUAGGCCAACUUUGUCACACAUACUCCUUGCCCCUGAGCUGAAGGUGAUGGGAAUGAGCAGAUGGCCACUGCCCUCUCCCUAGGAAGUGCCAGGGGGAGGAUGGAGAACUAGGGUAUCAGAACAACCAGGAACUGGACUGGAAUAGGGCUUCUCUCUGUGUAGUAUAAAUGCCACACUCCAUGUCUUUAUUAGAAGCUAAAAUUACCUGAAAGAUUAGAUUAUUAUUAGGAUGUGUCACAAAAUUAAACAAUUACUUGUUUUUAUUUUCUUUUGUACUUACGUGGUUUUCAUCAUGUGACCUACUACUGCCUCACACUAUCGUAAAUCUUUCUGAAGGCAAGUCUGACUAAGUUCUCACUGAAAUAUAGUGCUAGUAGUAUUUCAAAUAAUGGGCAA